rnacentral:lncRNA from 1 species
AAGGUUUCUAUCUUGAAGGGGAAAUUAAAGCUGCUUGAAGGGGGUUGUGGAUUCUUCGUGUUUCCAAAGCUUCUUAAGACUUCUACAUACCACGUUCUAUCUUUCCAUCUAUCUUUUUUAUUUUCUUCUUUAUUAAUUCUAUAUCUUAGAUUUCAUCCUUCUAUUUUUUUCCUCUUAAUUAUUUAUUAUUUUUUUCUUUAGUUUUAUUUGACUUGGAUUCGUUUGUGCUUUAGGUUGUUUCAAAAUCCAAGUUUC